CGGCGGACGGGUGAGUAAUGCCUAGGAAUCUGCCUGGUAGUGGGGGACGAACGUUUCGAAAGGAACGCUAAUACCGCAUACGUCCUACGGGAGAAAGCAGGGACCUUCGGGCCUUGCGCUAUCAGAUGAGCCUAGGUCGGAUUAGCUAGUUGGUGAGGUAAUGGCUCACCAAGGCGACGAUCCGUAACUGGUCUGAGAGGAUGAUCAGUCACACUGGAACUGAGACACGGUCCAGACUCCUACGGGAGGCAGCAGNG
rnacentral:rRNA from 1 species